GUCCUCAUUGGCCGGAAGGGAUUCCUUCCGGUCGAUGAGGCUGUUCCACCUCAUUGAUCGGAAGGAAUUACUUCCAGUCAAUGGGGUU
rnacentral:miRNA from 1 species